CAAGAAUGGACAAGGAAGGGACAAAUAAGAUGAUGUCUAAAAUGACGACUGACGAUAUUACCUAACUAUCAUUUGAGAAUCAUAAUGUUACUUCUUCAUUAUAAAUUCUCAGAUAGAGGUAAAUAAAUAUUGUGUCAGCUGGAUGUUCGAUUUGCAGGAAUGAUAGUCAAAGAAUAGACGAACUAAGGCAUACAAGGCUUACGAAUAUCAUUCUACCCAAGAAACUGAAAUUCUGGAUAUUUGUAGUGUGGAUAAAUGGAGCUAUAGAGCAACAAAACCUCUUAUAAUCAACUAUUGACUACAUGAAAUAAUUAAUUAAGCAUCAUGUUUUUCACAUAAA
rnacentral:lncRNA from 1 species